rnacentral:rRNA from 1 species
CGGAAAGCCUGACGCAGCGACGCCGCGUGCGGGAAGAAGGCCUUCGGGUUGUAAACCGCUUUCAGGGGGACGAAGCCGCUCGGGUGAACAGCCCAGAGGGUGACGGUACUCCCAGAAGAAGCCCCGGCUAACUACGUGCCAGCAGCCGCGGUAAUACGUAGGGGGCGAGCGUUGUCCGGAUUUAUUGGGCGUAAAGAGCGUGUAGGCGGCCAAAUAGGUCCGCUGUGAAAACUCGAGGCUCAACCUCGAGCUGUCGGUGGAAACCAUCUGGCUAGAGUCCGGAAGAGGAGAGCGGAAUUCCCGGUGUAGCGGUGAAAUGCGCAGAUAUCGGGAAGAACACCCGUGGCGAAGGCGGCUCUCUGGGACGGUACUGACGCUGAGACGCGAAAGCGUGGGGAGCGAACAGGAUUAGAUACCCUGGUAGUCCACGCCGUAAACGAUGGGUGCUAGGUGUGGGGAGUGUCGACUCUCUCCGUGCCGAAGCUAACGCAUUAAGCACCCCGCCUGGGGAGUACGGCCGCAAGGCUA